GGGAUCGAACCCAGAAUCUCUGGUUCCGUAGACCAGCGCCUUAUCCAUUGGGCCACGGAGUCCUUCUACUUUUAUACCUGAAAGUAGAAAUAUGGAACAUAAGCAUGAAGCCAGCUUUCCAAAAACCCAAUUCAUUCCAUAAAUUACCACUCUCACCCCCAGUCCGGGUUUCUUUUACACGCAUCACCUGUGUUCAAUUUAAUACAGGCCCAACUCCAGAGGCGUCCAAGCUACAGAUAGCGUCCUAGACACAGGCAAAGCACAAGAACUGGAGGAGCCAAGAUGAGGAAUUAGACUGCAAUUGCACUUGCAAUAAAAUUCCAUUUGGAAUCAACAGACAAACUUCGGCCCUGGAAAAUGCCCCUUCAAAGUGGCUUAAUGACCAGUUAGCUCUUGAACAAGCUUCUUGAAGGUUCUGGAGAGACUGAUAGAGAGCCCAGCAGACCACAGAUCGGGUGAGGUCACAGAUCUGCAUAGAGUCAGAGUCACCUCUCAUCUGCAAUUCAUCAGUGGUAGGACCUUUAGGUUCUUUUUGAAAUUUGGUUUUUGCAUUUUCUAAUAGGUAGUAGUUUGUGAUUUGUAAAUUAUGAACUCAUGUAAAUAAUAAAUUUAUGUAAUCAUAUGUUGAUGUACAUAUUUUGUAAAAUUUCUUUAAUUAAUAUAAUUUGAGAAUAUCUUCAUGAAAUUAAA